UUUCCGUAGGUGAACCUGCGGAAGGAUCAUUACUGAGUGAGGGCCCUCUGGGUCCAACCUCCCCCCCGCGUGUAUUGUACCUUGUUUCUUCGGUCAGCCCGCCUCCCGGCCGCCGCGGGGCCCCUGCCCCCCGGCCCGCGCCCGCCCACUUCACCCCUGAACUCUGCCCGAAGUUUCCAGUCUGAGCAAAAACUAAAUAAGUUAAAACUUUCAACAUCGGAUCUCUUGGUUCCGGCAACGAAGAAGAACGCAACAGCACGGACGAGCACACGUCUGACC
rnacentral:misc_RNA from 1 species